rnacentral:rRNA from 1 species
AGUGAACGCUGGCGGUAGGCCUAACACAUGCAAGUCGAACGGCAGCACAGUAAGAGCUUGCUCUUACGGGUGGCGAGUGGCGGACGGGUGAGGAAUACAUCGGAAUCUACUUUUUCGUGGGGGAUAACGUAGGGAAACUUACGCUAAUACCGCAUACGACCUACGGGUGAAAGCAGGGGAUCUUCGGACCUUGCGCGAUUGAAUGAGCCGAUGUCGGAUUAGCUAGUUGGCGGGGUAAAGGCCCACCAAGGCGACGAUCCGUAGCUGGUCUGAGAGGAUGAUCAGCCACACUGGAACUGCGACACGGUCCAGACUCCUACGGGAGGCAGCAGUGGGGAAUAGUGGACAAUGGGCGCAAGCCUGAUCCAGCCAUACCGCGUGGGUGAAGAAGGCCUUCGGGUUGUAAAGCCCUUUUGUUGGGAAAGAAAAGCAGCAGGUUAAUACCCCGCUGUUCUGACGGUACCCAAAGAAUAAGCACCGGCUAACUUCGUG